GUAGGAUGAAUUAAAAGUAUAGUACUUAGUAUACAUAUUUAUUUACUUUCAUUUCUGUAUGCCCUUGAAAUUUGACCCUUUGACCUAAAGAUUGAACCCUAUCCUUUAUCUAGUGAAUAUCAACUAAUGGGAUCUAUUGGUUGAAACAUUUAUUUUAGCAACAUAGUAAAAUACAUGUAUGGAUGUAUGUCCUGUUUGUAUAUGUAUGUGAAAAAAUGAAUAAUGUGUUAUAUAGUGGCAAAGAUAUUUGUUUGAGGUUUUUGAAGAAUGUAAACAUAGACAAUAUUUAUAGUUAUGCCAAAUAUUUCCAAUUUUGUCCAAUGUGUUAACACCAGACAUCACAAAAACAGCAUCAGGCUUUAUUGAGUCCAGAGGAUAACUAUUAUUUGAUUUCAUACCAGCAUUAACUACAGCUCACUAAAGAAUACCC
rnacentral:lncRNA from 1 species